rnacentral:rRNA from 1 species
UACAGAGGGUGCUAGCGUUGUUCGGAAUUAUUGGGCGUAAAGGGCGUGUAGGCGGGAAGGCAAGUCGGGCGUGAAAGCCCCAGGCUCAACCUGGGAACUGCACUCGAAACUGCCUUUCUUGAGUGCCGGAGAGGAAAGCGGAAUUCCUGGUGUAGAGGUGAAAUUCGUAGAUAUCAGGAGGAACACCAGUGGCGAAGGCGGCUUUCUGGACGGUAACUGACGCUGAGACGCGAAAGCGUGGGGAGCAAACAGG